AUAGUCCCCGCUGCUGUUCGUCGGUUGCGGUGUCGUGAUUCUGCGUGCUCGGUGCUGUCUCCCGGUAAAGAAAUGCCGCCGCUGCCGCUCCACCGGUGUUCGCGGUGCCGGCGGGUGCUGCUGUCCCGUGGCCGCAGCCCAGCUUUCGCGGUGCCGGGUUUUGGUCCUUGCGGCGCGGCGGCGGCGUGCGGCGCAUACGCGCAGUGCCCGGGCGGAGCAGGAUGGCGGCGCGCAGGGCGCGGGUCCCGGCACCGGCGGCAGAGACCACGCUGAGGGUGUGGGUGUCCGUUCUGCCCCUGGGGACGCUGUUGACUGUGCCUGCCUCAGGCUUGUGUAGGCAAAGAGGGAGCGCUUACUGGCUGCGGAUGGGUCCGAGCUGAAGGUGGAGAGGCCAAAGAAAGGUGGAGGACAGCCCAGCGACAUGAGCCAUGGAAGGGGAAGGGACGGGACAAGUAGAAAGAAGCAUCUGAACUGUCAAAUUCUUUUGGCAGUGGCAGGAGCUGCGCUCCUUGUCCCGAUACACAUCCAUAUCUGUCCAUUCCCUGUUGGAGUGACUGGAGUGGCCCCGUGACCCACUGCUGAGGUGUCCCAGGGACAGGUCCAGAGCUGCGGAGCACGCUCAGUCGUGUAACUUGUUAUGUGUGUGACUAAAUAAAUCCUGCUUGUUGUCUCCUUUGGCCUCA